GACGAACGCUGGCGGCGUGCUUAACACAUGCAAGUCGAACGAGUGGCGAACGGGUGAGUAAUGCUUGGGAAUCUGGCUUAUGGCGGGGGCUAACGCCUGGAAACUGUCGCUAAUACCGCGUACCAUAGGCUUAGCCCAAUUGGGAUUAGGUAGUUGGGGGGGUAAUGGCCUACCAAGCCAACGAUCUGUAGCUGGUCUGAGAGGAGGACCAGCCACACCGGGACUGAUACACGGCCCUGACUCCUACGGGAGGCAGCAGUGGGGAAUAUUGUGCAAUGGGGGAAACCUGAUCCAGCCAUGCCGCGUGAAUGAAGAAGGCCUUCGGGUUGUAAAGUUCUUUCGGUAACGAAGCGUUAACCACAGAAUAAGCACCGGCUAACUCCGUGCCAGCAGCCGCGGUAAUUC
rnacentral:rRNA from 1 species